AUUGAACGCUGGCGGCAGGCCUAACACAUGCAAGUCGAACGAGUGGCGGACGGGUGAGUAAUGUCUGGGAAACUGCCCGAUGGAGGGGGAUAACUCCUGGAAACGGUAGCUAAUACCGCAUACCAUCGGAUGUGCCCAGGUGGGAUUAGCUAGUAGGUGGGGUAAUGGCUCACAUAGGCGACGAUCCCUAGCUGGUCUGAGAGGAUGACCAUCCACACUGCAACUGAGACACGGUCCAGACACCUACGGGAGGCAGCAGUGGGGAAUAGUGCACGAUGGGCGCUAGCCUGAUGCAGCGAUGCCGCGUGGAUGAAGAAGGCCGUCGGGUUGUAAAGUACUUUCAGCGAGGAGGCGUGACUCGCAGAAGAAGCACCGGCUAACUCCGUGCGAGCAGCCGCGGUAAUUC
rnacentral:rRNA from 1 species